rnacentral:rRNA from 1 species
GAUGAACGCUGGCGGCGUGCCUAAUACAUGCAAGUCGAACGCUGGAAAUCUAGCUUGCUAGCUUGAAGGAGUGGCGGACGGGUGAGUAAUACAUAAGCAACCUACCCACGAAGACUGGGAUAAUCUCUGGAAACGGGGACUAAUACCGGAUAGGUAAUCGGAAGGCAUCUUCUGAUUAUUAAAGGUUAAAAACACUGGUGGAUGGGCUUAUGGCGCAUUAGUUAGUUGGUGAGGUAACGGCCCACCAAGACGAUGAUGCGUAGCCGGCCUGAGAGGGUGAACGGCCACAUUGGGACUGAGACACGGCCCAGACUCCUACGGGAGGCAGCAGUAGGGAAGUUUCGGCAAUGGGGGAAACCCUGACCGAGCAACGCCGCGUGAGUGAUGACGGCCUUCGGGUUGUAAAGCUCUGUUGUAAGGGAAGAACGGUAGAUAGAGAAUAUCUAAAUGACGGUACCUUACCAGAAAGCCACGGCUAACUACGUG